UCUCAUAGACAGUCGUGAUUUGCUUGAUGCAGCCUGAGAGGCCGCUGGGAGGGUAUGAUUGAGAUCCGGGUCCGACACGUGAUGUCUGGGACGUGUCGCCAUCGAUCUGCUGUGCUGUGUUGAUCAUGAACUCUGUUAGCGCGAUGCCAUCAACAGCUUUCUAAUCAACAUAACGUACAUGUAGUUGUACAGUUCCUAUUUGAGAUCCGAAGGCCAGAGGAGGAACGCAAAUGAGACCUAAGACAUCUGAAAGUCCCGAACAUCUAUUCUUAGUUUUCCACUCUUUCGGAGGAUGGAAAACCGUUUAGGCUGUAAUAUCCACCAAUGCCGCUCCUUGAAUUCAAAUUAUGGUGUCAUGAGCAUGCAGUGUUCCUGCAACGGAAAGUGGGAUUUCUCCCCUCAUCCGUAGCGUAGGUUAGAACAAAAAUGGAGGUUUUCGUCCACUUCCAGCUAUGGCAGGGAUCGGCAAGCAGCGGUUGAAUCAUGGAAGAUCUCUCCUCCGGCUCCUAACGGUCAGCGGUACGCCCGGAUAUUUAUGGCGUGUCUAAAGGGUAUAAGACAAGGUUCAGGACUAAAGCCGGCAAACUGUUCGUCAUUAUCCUAAAUGACAACAGCCAUUCGGGUACGGUAUCAGCCGACGCUGCUAAGGAUCCUAGGCUGCGUCAGUUCAUCCAAAAGGACCAAAUAGUGGUCAUAGGCAUACCAAGGGUGACGGCAUCCAAUGUUUCGACGACGCAGCAAAGACAUGUGCAGAAGAAGCUCAAGUAACUCAUCUCUGUGCAGUUCUCCGCCCUUGGAAGGCCUAUGAGGUACUUCGAAGUACCAUACUGUCUCGGAACUAACAGUCAUGUCUUCGGAAUAUCCCGCUGAUUGUGCACACUCCGCAGAACAGUAUCCUCUUCUGUGUGUGCAUGGUGGUCUCAUGAGUUGUAUUCGCUCACUGCAAUCUAUCGCAACCCUGCUAUUAAGAGUAUAAUGUACAUAAGCGGCCUGAUACUCUACCUUGUUCUCAUUGUACGAGUAAGUGCCGUCUUGUUGCAUGAUAACGUUGACCAAUUCCUAGUAUUUCGUAGCGGAAAAGAGAAUUCUACCUUCUUGAAUACGUUGGCAUUUUAAAUCAUCCACCAAGAUGGCAGCCCGCAUCUUUCGUGAUACUGUAGUCGGUAUUAUACGCUUAUUCACAUAUAUUCUA